AUUGAACGCUGGCGGCAUGCUUUACACAUGCAAGUCGAACGGCAGCGGGGUAGUGCUUGCACUACUGCCGGCGAGUGGCGUACGGGUGAGUAAUAUAUCGGAACGUACCGAGUAAUGGGGGAUAACCAAUCGAAAGAUUGGCUAAUACCGCAUACGUCCUGAGGGAGAAAGCGGGGGAUCGCAAGACCUUGCGUUAUUCGAGCGGCCGAUAACUGAUUAGCUAGUUGGUGGGGUAAAGGCCUACCAAGGCGACGAUCAGUAGCGGGUCUGAGAGGACGAUCCGCCACACUGGGACUGAGACACGGCCCAGACUCCUACGGGAGGCAGCAGUGGGGAAUUUUGGACAAUGGGGGCAACCCUGAUCCAGCCAUGCCGCGUGUAUGAAGAAGGCCUUCGGGUUGUAAAGUACUUUUGUUAGGGAAGAAAAGGGAAGUGCUAAUACCACUUUUUGCUGACGGUACCUAAAGAAUAAGCACCGGCUAACUACGUG
rnacentral:rRNA from 1 species